GACGAACGCUGGCGGCGUGCUUAACACAUGCAAGUCGAACGGAAAGGCCUGCUUUCCCUUGUGGAUUGCGGGUACUCGAGUGGCGAACGGGUGAGUAACACGUGAGUGAUCUGCCCCCAACUUGGGUAUAAGCCUGGGAUACUGGGUCUAAUUCCCGAUAGUACUGCAGGGUGGUGCCUGUGGUGGAAAACGAUUUUCUAGUGGUUGGGGAUGAGCUCGCGGCCUAUCAGCUUGUUGGUGGGGUACUGGCCUACCAAGGCGGCGACGGGUAGCCGGCCUGGGAGGGUGGACGGCGACAUUGGGACUGGGAUACGGCCCAGACGCCUACGGGAGGCAGCAGUGGGGAGUAAUGGACAAUGGGCGGAAGCCUGAUGCAGCGACGCCGCGUGGGGGAUGACGGCCUUCGGGUUGUAAACUCCUGUCGACCGAGAGGAAGCCGCCUGGUUGGAAGGGUGGUGACGGUAGUGGUAGAAGAAGCACCGGCUAACUACGUG
rnacentral:rRNA from 1 species